AUGUUAAAGAGAUACACGAAUACAUAAUUACUAUGUGAGAUAAAUGUAAUGAAGGCAAAAUAAAGAAUAUAAUGAAAUGUUAUAAGCUGAUUCAGAUGGGAAGAGAGGAAGAGGGAAGGUGACAAGUUCUCCAGGCAGAAAGUGUUUCCAGUCAGAGGGAACAGCAUUUACAGGUCCUGUGGAGGAAGUUCAGCAACGUCAACUCACAGUAUUAGCAGGUUAAUAGGGCUUGACUGAACAUGUUGAGGAGGGUGGGGUGAGAGUGGCAGGAGAUGACCUGCCACGCCAGCAGGGGCCAAAACAUUUGGGCAGGUGACUGAAAUGACAAGAAUUAUAGAUUUUGUUCCAAGUUCUGUGGGAAGCCUUUGGAGGAUUUGUAGGAAAGAUGGUAAGAAGAUAAUACUAUGUAAAUUCCAAUUCUAACUACAGUAUUUAAGAAUUUUUUUUCUAGUUCUUUUUCCUUCAAUUUUUUAUUUCUUUUCCCAGAAAAUAUCUUGGAGAAGGGAUGCUUGAAGUUUAAGGUCUAGAGUGUUUAGGGUAAAAAAAAAUCUUUUGAAAAUAUAUUUGAUUCUGCUGAUUAUAGUCUACUUUUAUAUUGCAACAUAAUUCUCUAGUCAGCAGUGGGUUUGUGUAAUUUGAUAGUUGAAAUAAAUUUACCUUUAUUUGAAAAAAAUUGGGAUCAUUAAACUACUAAACUAUAUUUUAGCAAUGUUUAUUAAAUGUAUUACUUAGAGGAGAAAAAAGAACAUAAAAUAAAAUCCCAAAUACCGGGUUUCUUUGAGUUCAAAAAUAAUUUGGAUGAAUGUAGAUCCUUUGAAUAGAGCUGAGUAUCUUUUGGUAGGCAUUAAGGAAAUCUAGUUUCUUCCUAGUAAAUAAAUUUGUUAUGUCACUAUAUAAACCAUAUAGUGUGUGUGUGUAAUUCUGAGAAUUCCAGCACCUACAAUUCCCAUAGUAUGUCUUAGAAAGUGAUUAUGUGCCAAAAUGACUGAAGUUGCAUCAGAAUUGGCUACACAUAUUUUAAUAAAUUAAAUAUCAUCUAUACUCACCAACUACAAUGUAAAGGGAAAAGAAUCUGAAUGAUGAAGAGUGGAUAUUAAUUAUAGGGACAAAAUUAAGAUACAGAAUUUUCUCAAAUGAACUACACUUGUAAUCCACAGUUACAAUAGAAAGUAGACUUUUUACAGAAAUAGAUUCAUGGGAAACUUUUUGGAAAAAUAUAUAGAUCUGGAGAGAAUAAUUUGCUUAAAGUUUUUUUUUAAUGUCAUUUAAAAAAUUAAAUUGGAGAUGAUGGUAUUUUGUAUUUGCCCACAUGUCAUUUUUUUAAAAAAAUUAAUUUUUUGAUUUGAGAAAGGGGUGGGGGGAGAGAGAGAGAUCCAUUGGUUUGUUGCUCCACUGAUAGAUUCAUUUGUUGGUUGAUUCUUACAUGUAACCUGACUGAGGAUUAAAUCUGGAACCUGGGCAUAUUGGGAUAAUGCUCUAACCAACUGAGCUUCCUGGCCAGGGCCCACACACUAUUUUUUGAUGUCCUUACCCUUGUGUAGAUUUGAACUUUCAUCUGGUAUCAUUUUUCUUAUGCCUAUGGACUUUUUUUAUCAUUUUUUUCCUGAUUCAGGUCUGCUAACUAUGAAUUUCUUCUGUACUCUAGGUACAGAAUUCUAGGUUGACAUUCUGUAUUCUUUCUGAAUUUCAAAGAUGUUUCUUCAUUUUCUUUCAUCGGACAAUUAGAAGUCUAAAGUGAUUCUUACCUUUGCCUAUUGUACACAGUGUAUCUUGUUGCUUCUUUUCUUUAUCACUUGUUCUCAAAAAUUUAAUUAUGUUGUUUUCAGUGUAGAUUUUUGAAAAAUCAUGGCUGGGAUUUGCUAAGCUUUUUGAGUCUGUGAGCUUACAGUUUUAUCAAAUUUGGAAAAGUUUCAGCCAUCAUUUCAUGUACGUGUGUGUAUGUGUGUAUUCUACUCUUCCCUCCCACAUUUUCCCCUGCUGCUGAGACUCCAAUGACACAUAAAUUAAGCUGCAUGGUAUUGUCCCAUAGGACAGUGAGGCUCUGUUAAUUUUUUAAAAUUUUAUUUUCUCCCUGCUUGAUUUUGAACAGUUUUUAUUUCUAUGUCUUUCAGUUCACUUCUCCUCCCCACUUCCUGCCCCUGAAGUGUUUAAUUUGCUGGCAACCAGAUUUCACUGAAAAAAAAUUAUACUGACAACAAUGUAUGGACACCUUUGAACUAAACAGCUCUAAACAAUUAAGGCAAAAGUCACUGGAAGACCCUUUAUCAGAGGAUCUGGAGCAUAAUAAUCAUUUUAAUCUUCUUGGUCAAUUCUGGAAUAGUCCCUAAGAAGUACAGUCAUUUUUGAGUUCUGGGGAAUAGGUCUGGUAGGUAGAAAACCAUGUUGAAUCUUUUAACCCCUUCUUGGAAUAUACAAAUUCUGGCUUUAUGCACUUUAGAAUUAACCAGAAUUUUGAUAAUUUAAUCAUUUGAGACAGAAUUAUAAAUAUAUCCACCAUGGUGAUUUCAGACUGAACUAAAAACAUUUAUAUCCAUGUUUUUGGGCUUUGGUUUACUUUUGGCCAUUUGUGAGAAAUGAACAUGACUUCCCAUGAGAGUUUGCUUGGAUGCUUUUGCCAGUAAGAUGCAUCAGUCUUCAGAAGGUUGCUUUUCAAGACAGACUUGUUACACAAUGUGCUUUAGUUGUGUAAUGUGUGUUACCACUUCUGUCAUUAAGGGUAUGGAUCAUGCUUAGCAUGACAUUUUGUGGGAUCCUAGUUGUGUGGUAUAUUUAGAGGCAUCUAACUGGAUAAAUAA